rnacentral:misc_RNA from 1 species
CAUCUAUAUGGUAGAUUACUAGAUGAUUGUGAUCUCUUUUUAAAGGAUAUGAUUCCUAAAUCCUACUUCAUUGAUAUAUGUGAUGGACAGAUUUUAUCUUUAAGUAGAUGGUGGAUAUUAUUGAAAUUGGAUUAAACCAUAUUUAUGUGGAAUAUAUAUGCCUUUCACAGAAUCUUGAUUUAAAUUUGAAUACUUGUAUGUUUGAAAUAUAAUAAAAAAGAUUUUCUUUUAUUAAUGCAUCCCUCCAAUGUGAUAUCUUAGUUUUUUAAGAAUAUCUGAGUCAGUCCGUGUAUGUUGUAUAGAUAUUUUUUGUGCCCAGGCCUCAGCUGAAAUCUGACAGUUACAACCCUGUCCUACAUUCAAAUUUGUUGCUCUGAUUAGUUGAUUUGUCCUGCUUGUCUGAUGUGAAUAAGUCAAUAAGAUGAUGUGGCCUUUUGAUCUUUUCACCUGAUUGUUGAGCACAUUUAAAUACAACUCACAUUUGUUGGAUUCUCUUAACAGGGGAAG